AUGUGUUACCUAUAGGAAAAGCUUCGCUCUCACGGCCCUUUGGGCUGUGAGAGGGCUUUGCAGGGUUCAAAAUUAACUCAUGUCCGUAAGUCCGAGACUAGUAAAAAAACGUGUCGGACUAGUGAACUCUCUAUAGCACUAGUCCGUACGGACUAGUGAAAAUCCAGAAAUCAAUCUUGAAUUGGUAAAGAUUUUUAGCAAGAUUUGUCUGAGUCUCUUAGAUGUUUGAACUUAUGGUUGAUUACCUGCAUGGUCAAGUGUUUGCAUGACUACGACAGCCUGAUCUUCCUAACACAUGGAGUGUGUUCGAGACCACCGUUCUUCGAACGUGCACAAAUUGUCAAAUUCCUGUCGAUUCCAAACGCCGAGUACACAUCACGAGAACUUGUUCUAGGUGCAAGAAUUGCAAGUAGUGUGGUCUGAGAACAUGCACGUUUGUUUCUCGACAUUCGUGACUCUUAACACAGUAGUUCAUAACAUUAUAGCUCAUGACUUGGUCAAUCGAGUGAAUUUUUUUUUACUUUAUUGAUAAAAUUUCGAACUCCUGUGACUCUAAGAUCUGAGCACCAAAACAACAGGAACGUCGAUCUCGAACACACUUAUGGACAUUUAUAAAAGGAUUAACUCGGAGGUUAAUAUUGUAUGCUUCUGAAGAUCUUGAAUGCGAAAUAAAAUAUGGUGGUCUCUUUUUCUUCUGUAGGUGUCAGAAAUUGAAUUGUUUGCAACUGUGAUGUGUUUGAUUUGAUUAAAUACUAUUGAAUAAAAUGAAGAUCAUUUUAUUAUAUACUGGACGGACUAGUGAAAUGUUUUGCUGACUAGUGAACAUCAACAGUUACUAGUCCGUACGGACUAGUGCUUGAAAAAGUUAAUUUCGAACCCUGCUUUGUCCUCUAAAAUUGCCGACUCCUAUGCUUGCACCUGGGAUUUAAAAAAAAAAAGUACUACAGGUGUGUAUAAUACUAUUUUAGGAGAACUCAGUUCUAGUAUUGAACUCAUCUUGUGACAGGUUAGGAAGGAACACUUCCCCUAUAGCGAGAUAUUCUCUCUAAAACGCGAUUAUCCCUCUUUAACAAGAAAGUAAACAUUACCAUAAACAGGUGUUUUGAUGUCUUUAUUGAAAUAUUGGCAAAUCAACAUUGCUGCGUAAGAGGGAAGCAGUCUGAAAUCCAAUGCACAUCGUGAGUGUUUUUGUUUUGAUUUAUAUAUUUGCAGAAGUAUCAAACAUUAAAGCACUUUUUCUUCUUUUCAUGUGAAACACGAAGAGAUGUACUCCACAGGUGUUUUGCUCGAUUGUAUGGGAUAUAUUUACUCUCGCUAGAGAGGGAUAAUCACUUUUUCACAAGAAUAUCUCGCAGUAGCCUAGGGGAAGGGUUUUCAACCAGUUUGAGUGUUUUAAUACUCUGACCAAGGACUGGGUUGAAGUGGUAUUAGGCUUCCUACAUCAUAACUUCAAUAUCAGUUCAACAUCUGUUAAAGAGAACGCCUACAAAUCAUUAGCAAGAUGCCUGGUUGAGUAUGCUUCAUCAGUUUGGGAUUCAUAUAUCAUCAAAAAGACAUCCACAGACUUGACAUGGCGCAAAGAAGAGCAGCCCGUUAUGUCAGCAACAGAUACGAAAACAGAUCUAAUGUGGAUAGUAUGAUGGAACAUCUCGACUGGACACCACUAGAACAUCAUUGUAGACAUGCCAGACUCACCACACUACAAAUUCGUAAAUAAUGAAAUUGUUAUUGACAAGAGUGAUAGACUUAUACCAUCUUUGUGCAAGACAAGGCAUUCUCACCAUCUUGUUGUCCAACUUCCAUCAAGCAUCCAUUUUGCAUCAAGCAUCCAUCUUCCACUCUCUCAAAGGCAGAAUAAUCAACCAGAUGAUUGUGGCCAUUAUCAGGCAGAACCAGAAUAUCCUCUGGUAAGGCAUUCUAGUCCCACAUGGAUCUGGGACAAAAAGAAUUGUCAAAGAUAUCUUUAUCGGUUCUCUACUGCCAGAUUUUGUGUCCACCGUGCAUUCUGGUAUCUCCAGGGGUGUAAAAUUAAUUGAGUACUUGCUGUCCAGCUUUAUUAAGUUCCUCUGUAUUUUUAAGCACAUCACCAGUCUGCUUUUAGUAUCUCGUGCUUAGAGGGAAUCCCACUUCAACCUGUCUAGCAGUGCUGCUACACUAACAGGAUUAUGACUUCUGUAAUCACUUUAGACAAAUUUGGCAGCUUCCUGUUGUACUGCCUUUAGGUCCUUAAUGUGGGUCGCAUGGUAAGGAUCCUACAUAGUAGACUGAAUAUUCUAAUCCUGGUCUUACCAAUGUGCAUUAGGUAUUGGUCUCGACUUGCUACAAACAGUGUAUAAUGUAUAUUAUGUUUAUAUAUUAUAGUGUUCAAUUUUUUAGAUAGAUCCUUUCAAUGUUUACUUUGUUUUUGUA